AUUGAACGCUGGCGGCGUGCUUUACACAUGCAAGUCGAACGGCAGCACGGACUUCGGUCUGGUGGCGAGUGGCGAACGGGUGAGUAAUACAUCGGAACGUACCCAGUAAUGGGGGAUAACUAUCCGAAAGGAUAGCUAAUACCGCAUACGCCCUACGGGGGGAAAGAGGGGGAUCGCAAGACCUCUUGUUAUUGGAGCGGCCGAUGGCUGAUUAGCUAGUUGGUGGGGUAAAGGCCUACCAAGGCAACGAUCAGUAGCGGGUCUUAGAGGACGAUCCGCCACACUGGAACUGAGACACGGUCCAGACUCCUACGGGAGGCAGCAGUGGGGAAUCUUGGACAAUGGGCGCAAGCCUGAUCCAACAAUGCCGCGUGCGUGAAGAAGGCCUUCGGGUUGUAAAGCGCUUUUGUCAGGGAGCAAAUCCUUGUGGCUAAUACCCACCGGGGAUGAGAGUACCUGAAGAAUAAGGACCGGCUAACUACGUGCCAGCCGCCGCGGUAA
rnacentral:rRNA from 1 species